rnacentral:rRNA from 1 species
GAUGAACGCUGGCGGCGUGCCUAAUACAUGCAAGUCGAGCGAACGGACGAGAAGCUUGCUUCUCUGAUGUUAGCGGCGGACGGGUGAGUAUCACGUGGAUAACCUACCUAUAAGACUGGGAUAACUUCGGGAAACCGGAGCUAAUACCGGAUAAUAUUUUGAACCGCAUGGUUCAAAAGUGAAAGACGGUCUUGCUGUCACUUAUAGAUGGAUCCGCGCUGCAUUAGCUAGUUGGUAAGGUAACGGCUUACCAAGGCAACGAUGCAUAGCCGACCUGAGAGGGUGAUCGGCCACACUGGAACUGAGACACGGUCCAGACUCCUACGGGAGGCAGCAGUAGGGAAUCUUCCGCAAUGGGCGAAAGCCUGACGGAGCAACGCCGCGUGAGUGAUGAAGGUCUUCGGAUCGUAAAACUCUGUUAUUAGGGAAGAACAUAUGUGUAAGUAACUGUGCACAUCUUGACGGUACCUAAUCAGAAAGCCACGGCUAACUACGUGCCAGCAGCCGCGGUAAUACGUAGGUGGCAAGCGUUAUCCGGAAUUAUUGGGCGUAAAGCGCGCGUAGGCGGUUUUUUAAGUCUGAUGUGAAAGCCCACGGCUCAACCGUGGAGGGUCAUUGGAAACUGGAAAACUUGAGUGCAGAAGAGGAAAGUGGAAUUCCAUGUGUAGCGGUGAAAUGCGCAGAGAUAUGGAGGAACACCAGUGGCGAAGGCGACUUUCUGGUCUGUAACUGACGCUGAUGUGCGAAAGCGUGGGGAUCAAACAGGAUUAGAUACCCUGGUAGUCCACGCCGUAAACGAUGAGUGCUAAGUGUUAGGGGGUUUCCGCCCCUUAGUGCUGCAGCUAACGCAUUAAGCACUCCGCCUGGGGAGUGCGACCGCAAGGUUGAAACUCAAAGGAAUUGACGGGGACCCGCACAAGCGGUGGAGCAUGUGGUUUAAUUCGAAGCAACGCGAAGAACCUUACCAAAUCUUGACAUCCUUUGACAACUCCAGAGAUAGAGCCUUCCCCUUCGGGGGACAAAGUGACAGGUGGUGCAUGGUUGUCGUCAGCUCGUGUCGUGAGAUGUUGGGUUAAGUCCCGCAACGAGCGCAACCCUUAAGCUUAGUUGCCAUCAUUAAGUUGGGCACUCUAAGUUGACUGCCGGUGACAAACCGGAGGAAGGUGGGGAUGACGUCAAAUCAUCAUGCCCCUUAUGAUUUGGGCUACACACGUGCUACAAUGGACAAUACAAAGGGCAGCGAAACCGCGAGGUCAAGCAAAUCCCAUAAAGUUGUUCUCAGUUCGGAUUGUAGUCUGCAACUCGACUACAUGAAGCUGGAAUCGCUAGUAAUCGUAGAUCAGCAUGCUACGGUGAAUACGUUCCCGGGUCU